rnacentral:rRNA from 1 species
GACGAACGCUGGCGGCGUGCUUAACACAUGCAAGUCGAACGAAGUGGCGAACGGGUGAGUAACGCGUAAUCAACCUGCCCUUCAGAGGGGGACAACAGUUGGAAACGACUGCUAAUACCGCAUACUGAAGGAGUGGAUUGCGUCUGUUUCGCUAGUUGGAGGGGUAAGGGCCCACCAAGGCGAUGAUCAGUAGCCGGGCUGGGAGGAUGAACGGCCACCAUGGGACUGAGAAACGGCCCAGACUCCUACGGGAGGCAGCAGUGGGGAAGCUUCCGCAAUGGACGAAAGUCUGACGGAGCAACGCCGCGGGGGUGAUGACGGCCUUCGGGUUGUAAAGCUCUGUUAAUCGGGACGCGGUACCGGAAUAGAAAGCCACGGCUAACUACGUGCCAGCAGCCGCGGUAAUUC